rnacentral:rRNA from 1 species
CGGUGGUAAUGCCGGAUGUUCCAGUUGAUCGCAUGGUCUUCUGGGAAAGCUUUCGCGGUAUGGGAUGGGGUCGCGUCCUAUCAGCUUGACGGCGGGGUAACGGCCCACCGUGGCUUCGACGGGUAGCCGGCCUGAGAGGGCGACCGGCCACAUUGGGACUGAGAUACGGCCCAGACUCCUACGGGAGGCAGCAGUGGGGAAUAUUGCACAAUGGGCGCAAGCCUGAUGCAGCGACGCCGCGUGAGGGAUGGAGGCCUUCGGGUUGUAAACCUCUUUUAUCGGGGAGCAAGCGUGAGUGAGUUUACCCGUUGAAUAAGCACCGGCUAACUACGUGCCAGCAGCCGCGGUAAUACGUAGGGUGCAAGCGUUAUCCGGAAUUAUUGGGCGUAAAGGGCUCGUAGGCGGUUCGUCGCGUCCGGUGUGAAAGUCCAUCGCUUAACGGUGGAUCCGCGCCGGGUACGGGCGGGCUUGAGUGCGGUAGGGGAGACUGGAAUUCCCGGUGUAACGGUGGAAUGUGUAGAUAUCGGAAAAGAA